rnacentral:rRNA from 1 species
GUAAUACAAGGCACACGGCUCAGUAACACGUAGCCAAUCUAACCUAUGGACGGGGAUAACCUCGGGAAACUGAGGAUAAACCCCGAUAGAUCAUUAUACCUGGAAAGGUUUAUGGUCCAAAUGAUUCGUCGCCGUAGGAUGAAACUGCGGCCUAUCAGCUUGUUGGUGAGGUAAUGGCCCACCAAGGCUAUUACAGGUACGGGCUCUGAGAGGAGAAGCCCGGAGAUGGGUACUGAGACACGGACCCAGGCCCUAUGGGGCGCAGCAGGCGAGAAACCUUUGCAAUGUGCGCAAGCACGACAAGGUUAAUCCGAGUGUUUCCUGCUAAAGGAAUCUUUUGUUAGUCUUAAAAUCACUAUUGAAUAAGGGGUGGGCAAGUUCUGGUGUCAGCCGCCGCGGUAAAACCAGCACCUCAAGUUGUCAGGAGGAUUAUUGGGCCUAAAGCAUCCGUAGCCUGCUCUGUAAGUUUCCGGUUAAAUCCAUUAGCUCAACUAAUGGGCUGCCGGAAAAACUGCAAAGCUAUGGAGUGGGAGAGGUANACNGUACUC